AUGAACGCUGGCGGCGUGCCUAAUACAUGCAAGUCGAGCGAACAGACGAGGAGCUUGCUCCUCUGACGUUAGCGGCGGACGGGUGAGUAACACGUGGAUAACCUACCUAUAAGACUGGGAUAACUUCGGGAAACCGGGGCUAAUACCGGAUAAUAUAUUGAACCGCAUGGUUCAAUAGUGAAAGACGGUUUUGCUGUCACUUAUAGAUGGAUCCGCGCCGCAUUAGCUAGUUGGUAAGGUAACGGCUUACCAAGGCAACGAUGCGUAGCCGACCUGAGAGGGUGAUCGGCCACACUGGAACUGAGACACGGUCCAGACUCCUACGGGAGGCAGCAGUAGGGAAUCUUCCGCAAUGGGCGAAAGCCUGACGGAGCAACGCCGCGUGAGUGAUGAAGGUCUUCGGAUCGUAAAACUCUGUUAUUAGGGAAGAACAAAUGUGUAAGUAACUAUGCACGUCUUGACGGUACCUAAUCAGAAAGCCACGGCUAACUACG
rnacentral:rRNA from 1 species